CUUUCCUGUGGCAAACACCAAACAGUUCUUUAGUGUAUGUAUUAUCUCUUAAAAAAUAUUUUUAACAUUUAUUUAUUUUUGAAAAAGAGAGAGAGGUAGACAGAGGAUCUGAAGCAGGCUCCAUGCUGUGAGCACAGCACCCGAUGCGGGGCUCGAACCCACGAACCGUGAGAUCGUGACCUGAGCCGAAAUCAAGAGUUGGCCACUUGGGGCGCCUGGCCACCCUGGCACCCCUAGUGUAUUUAUUAUCUUAUCCUUUCUACCUCUCAUACUGCAUCUGGGCACUACCAAUCCAGAAUUCAUUUUUAACUUUACUUUAUAAUCUAUUGUCAUAGAAUGAGAAACGUUUGUCUGGGUGAAUAAGGCUAUUAAGGAUGCAAUCUGUUAACCAUUUUUUCUCUUUCUCAUUAAAACCACUAGUGUAUCUGUUUCAUUUCUUUUUUUUUCUUUUUUUUUAAAUUCCACUCAAGAAAAAUCAAAGCAGUAAUUCUGUAACCAAGGAAUCUUCUAUGCAAGAGUGGUAGAACCCAUAAAAACAAAAGCAGUUUCCCUGUCUGGAAUCUUGGAUAAACAGUAGAGUAGUUAACCCAUGUUCUACAUAAAGCUGAAUGAGAUGGCAUCUGAAGUCAUGGUUUCUCGACCAGAAAGACAGGGAGUUUUGAAGGUAUUGGUUCCUUUCCUGGAAUUUCCAGGUGACAACACAGAGAUACAAACCCUGUUCUACCCAUGGCCCUCCAGUCUUCUUGUUCCAUGAUAAAUGUUUAUCAAGGCCAGCUACUUUAUUUUGAAUCAUCCCACAAUUAACAUUUCAUGAGCAUCUGCUAUGCAAUAGGCUGUAUACUGGACACUGGGAUUCAGAAAUGAAAUUUAUAGUCCCUACCUUCAAGGAAUUGACAGUCUAAUUGGGGAGAUAAAAACAAAAAUUAAGUACAGGGUGUUUUGUUUUAGGAGGUCAAUCGAGUGGUAAAUACAUUAAGCUGAUGUUUAAAGAACAGUAGAGGCUUGGUGGUUAAAAAAGAAGGAAAUUAAAUUACAAAAGUGGAAAAAAUAUAUGAGAAAGUAUAGAAUUAUUUUGAGCUG